ACUAAAACAUAGAAUUGUGGUUAGGUAGUUUCAUCUAGCUAAUGGCCAGAGUUGUACUGGUUAAAAAAUAAAACUGUAAAAUAAAUUAAUAAAAAUAACAAUAAAAAUAAAAAUAAAAAUGUAAGGAACUAAGGAGUAAUCAAUACCUAAUAUUUAAAAAAGAAAACCAACUACAUUUUAAGGGCACGCGCGUAAACAACACCAUUUUGAAGACACGUGGAUGACACAUAAUCAUCACCACUUAGAAGACACGUGACCAAGAAUACAUAAUCAAUUCUUCAUCUAAUACAUAACAAGUCACCUCAACAUUUUAUCCUUCCCUUUCCAAUUUUAGUUUGACCGUUUAGAACAAUUUAAUUAGAGACAUUGAUUAAUACAUUGGCGGUUAUGGUGAAUCAAGAAUGAGAAACGUUUCAGAUGCUUAUAAUUCUCGUGUUAAUAAAUUUGACUAUAUUUUUUGUGCUAAUAAUCAAUUUGACUAUUUAUUAAACCUACAUGUUUACAAUUUUUUAUAGACCGACAUUCAUCCCUGACUUAUUUUGCUAAAUUUCUUCAUUCUGAAGAAUUUUACUAUUUUCCUAUAGGUGGGUGAAAGUUAAAAUUAUGUUAUGAACUUCUAAUUCAUGCCCACCCCAUUGUUUUCUGGAAAAAUAUUUAUUCUAAUGAGGUUGGUAUUAGUUAAUGUUAUCAUUAAAUUCAUUUUUUAGCCCAUUCAAAUCUACGGUGCAUCUCUUUGCAUCCCGUUGCCUGACUUGCCUCAAUCGUCAUCGUAUUUCAAGUUCUUUUACAAACGACUUAAAAAACCGACAAAUAUGGAUGCAUUUUUGUUUUGAAAUCUAUAUGACAUCUACUACUACCACACCCUAACUCUAUAAGCAUAAUUCCGAGUUUUUUUUAAAAAAAGGUUUAGUCUUUGAUAUUUUCCAGAAUUUUGACAUAUCACGUUUGGUUAGCUUGAUCAACAACUCUUAAUUCUUAGGUCAUUUUCCUAUUUGGUAGUUUUCUUGAUUGUGAUGCAAAGGAUAGGGUGCGAAACUUCAUGUAUACUUUGCAACUGAAACAUAGUUUUUAAUCCAACAAACAACAAUGGUGAAUUUCUUAGCAUAUUGAAGAUUUGUGGAAUUCUUUGGUUUAAUCCAAAGAAUACAUGUGAUUAACUUAGUUACUCCGUACUAGCAUAUUUCUCUAAUUCUCAUUUUUUUUUUAAGAUAAAAAGAUAUACUCAUAAACUAAGAAUGUAUUUGUGGUCUUGUGGGAGCUCAUAAUAUAUUUCAUAAAUGUAAUGCUUCCACACAAUAUAUCUUGGAAAUUUUAGUUUGUCUACGUACUAUCAAAAUUAUUAGUGAAAGUUUUUAGUGAAGUAUUAUACAUUUAUACCUUUAUCAUUUUGGUAUGUCAAUUUACCACUUUUUUUAAUUGUGUUUCCUAAAAUAUAGCCCGUGCGUAGAACGGGCCAAAAGCUAGUUAAGUUGGUUAGGAGUAAAGAACUAAGGAACUACGGACUAAUAUCUAAAACAAAAAAAGAAUAAUAAAAAUGAGGGAAACUUUCUAGUUUCCAGCGCCAUCAAUAAUCACGUCCUCCAACCACCGCCACCCCAUUCAUCUUCUCCAACCAACUCAAUCACCAUAGACUGUGAUCAUAUUCACAAAAAUUUCUCAGAAAUCCAUCUCAACUGUCAAACAAAACAACUAAUGAUAGUGAAAAGUAUCCGAUUUUUCACCUGGGGCGGGUUUGGAACGCUUGAGUUGACAUUAGUAAACAAAUGAGUUAAUAUAUUGUUUGGGACGCAUGUAUUCAACUGAUUCACCAUCUCCUUCGCCCCCCCUCCCUACCGAAGCCCUGGAUAUUGAAAGAUCUCUUGUGCUUAUUGCAAAUAUAAAUCAAGUUAUCGGGAUUAUUUUUUCGAAAAAGAUGAGAUCUGAUCACUACCAAUGGAGGAAAGAAAUAUCUUUCGAAAUUUUCGUUAGACUUGUGAUUUUACGGUCAUUUGGAUGCAUUCGGAGUGUUCGUAGUUGAUUCGGAUGAUGAACGGAUGAGAUGUUGGCUCGAGGAUCAUUACAUGUCUCUAGGGAUAAUUUUGAGUCAACGACGAAGCUAAACAUUAUUUUUCAAAGCAUCAAACGGACAAGAGUUCACUCUUUUGAUGAUAUCUCAAGUUCUACAUGUCGAAAUGAGAAGGUUUUGAUUGGGCUAGAAAGUAGGCUUAAAGAGGUUUCCAACGGUAGGUCACACGUCCCUAUGGGCAUUGUAGAACAAGAGUUAUGAGAUAAACAAGAUGACUCAACUAUCUGAUUCGCCCACAACCCACAACUCCUAUCCUUGGGCGCGGAAACCAGCGACCGACCAACGGGCCCACUGGUUUUUGCGCCCAAGUGAUUUCCGCUCGUGCUUUCGUUUUCGUGAUCAUCAAAUUAAAUCAUAACUUAUGUAAUUAUUAUUAUUUCCUAUUUUGAUUAGAAUUUAGGAAGCAUAUAAAUACUUCAAGGGAAUUAAUUUGUUUCCCUUAUGCUUUUAUUUUCCUUAGAAUUCCUUUUUCACGUCAUUUUUUCUAUUCUUCUCUCUUCCAUUGUUGAACCCUAGCUUUUCAAUAUUUCAAUUCAUCAAU